UAGACGGAUAGCUUGGUUUUGGUUCUGAUGAAGGACGUGGCAAGCUGCGAUAAGCCUUGGGGAGCUGCAUGCAAGCUUUGAUCCAAGGAUUUCUGAAUUAUCCUGAGAAGGAAAGAUACGCCGGGAAUUGAAACAUCUUAGUACCGGCAGGAAAAGAAAACAUAGAGUGAUUCCCUUAUUAGCAGAGAGCGAAAAGGGAAGAGGGCAAACUGAAUCUGCUCUUGAAAGAGAGUUAGAGAUGUGGUGAGGACCAAGGACUAAGUCAAUGAUUCAAACUUUUCUGGAAAGAAAGACCUUAGAAGGUGAUAGUCCUGUAGAAGAAAUUGAUAUGUCGUACCUCGAAAGAGUAGGGCUUCCUGAAUUGGAGGUCUGAAUACCGUGAGAACCUUCGGGUUCUCGGGGCACAGAGAAUCUUUGAUUCUCAGUGUGGCUGGAUUAACAGCCAACCCUAAAUAUAACCAAAGUCCGAUAGCGCACUAGUACCGCGAGGGAAAGCUGAAAAGUACUCUUAGCAGAGAGUUAAAAGACUUGAAAUCUAGCAGUUACAGUUGGUUACUGCUCUAUUCACUUUAGUGUGGAAGGGUUGUAACGUACGUUUCGAAGAACGGGCCAGGGAGUUAUUCUAUGUGGCAAGACUAAUCAAUUAUAUUGAGUAAUCAAAGCGAAAGCAAGUCUGAAAAGGCGUUAGUCACAUGGAUUAGACCUGAAGCCAGAUGAUCUAUUCAUGGAUAAGAUGAAGUCUCUCGAAAGAGGGAUGGAGGUCUGAACCGCUGUUGUGGACAUGCACUCGGAUGAUCUGUGAAUAGGGGUGAAAAGCUUAUCUAAUCUGGCGAUGGCUGGUUCCUGCUGAAAUAUGCCUUCGUAUAGUCUUGUCUAGUUUAUUAACAGUGUAAAGUACGGAUAAAUUUUGCAGGAGCUAAUGCUUACGGAAAUUUUUCCAACUCAGAAACUGUUGAUUGCUUAAGACAGGAAACAGGUACAGUAUGUAAGAUACUGUUCCGAGAGUGGAACAACACAGACCAAAGUUAAGGUCCAUAAAUUUAUGUUAAGUGUAUCGAAAGGUGUCUUGAACCUGAGACACUAGGGAUGUAAGCUUAGAAGCAGCUAUCAUUUAAAGAAAGCGUAACAGCUCACCUAUUGAGGUUCAGGGCCCUGAAAAUAGACCGGGCUAAACAUAAUACCGAUACUUUGGCGGUCCCCUGUUGGGGAUUCGGGUAAGCAGGCGUGCUUUUUGUGCAGAAGCAUCUUUGAGAAAAGGUGUGGAACAAAAAGCAAUGAGAAUCCUGGUAAUAGUAGGAUGUGAUUUUCCUGAGAACGGAAAAUGUCGAAAGGGUAAGGUUUCCUCGGCAAUAUAUGUUAGCCGAGGGUUAGUCAGCGCCUAAGUCGUAUCUUAACUGAGUACGACGAUGGAUAACAGGUUAAUAUUCCUGUACUGAUUGAAUCUUAUAAAGUAUUAUUUAGUUUUGGAUAAGUGAGCACUCGAAAGAGUGUUUUAGUGAAGAAAUCUGUCGAGGGUAAUCCAUAGACGCAGAUAAAUUUGCUAAACAAAAUCGCUGAUUCCGGGAUUCAGUGAAAAGAUUAUACUCUUGAUUUAAUUAGCUGUACCCAUAACCGGCACUGGUGCCCUGGCUGAAAAGGCUAAGACAUGAAAGGUAAAACCAAUUAAGGGAAUUCGGCAAGUUAGUCCUGUAGCUUCGGCUGAAGGGAUGUCUAUCUUUGUUUCUAUCAGAAAUGUUGGAGCAUUGGUAGAUCACAGUAACGAGGACGGCCCGACUGUUUACCAAAAACGUAGCCAAGUGCUAAUCUGAAAAGACUUGUAUACUUGGUGAGACCUGCCCAGUCGUGGUGUCUAAAACUCUUUUUCAAGGGAGCUAAGGCCCAUGAAACGGCGGGGGUAACUAUGACCCUCUUAAGGUUUCAAAUUACGAAGCCUUAUCAAAAUCUGACUAUAUGCUGGAAAAUCUGAGUAUCUCAUAAAUGACGACGACAAUUUAUAAAAUUGGCUCGCGUAAAACAAUUAUGAGUGCAGACAAUCAGCAGGAAAGACUAGAAUUGAUAACAUAAAUUUUUAAAAACAAUAAUUUGCUAAUUGAAUUAUGGAUAGAGAAACUGCAUAUGAUUUUGAAGACAAAGAAAAUGGAUUAAGAUUUUUAUCUAAGAUAAAAAGUAAGGGUUUUAAAACUCUAAAAGAUCCUGAUAAUCAAAAUCUAGUUAUUCGUCAUAAUGAUAGUAAUGUUGGAAGAAUAUUAUUGGAACAAUAUUUAAUUCUAUAUACAUCUUUUCCAGAAAGAAGAAAAGGAGAGACAAAAUAUAUAGAAUCUAUUUCAUUACUACAAAAGUUAGCAAAUAUUAAAUAACUAAUUCUAGAAUCCUCAGAGACUAUACGUCAGAAACUUUAACAAAAGUUAAGAUAUAGUCCGAUCUGUAUGGCGACAUAUAGAGACUAGCAGAAAUGACUAGUCCAUCAUUACAAUUAAUGAUAGUAACAAAAAUGAGCGUAAUACCUUGUCGAUUGAAUAUCGACUUGCAUGAAUGGUUUAACGAGGUUGUCACUGUCCCUAAUUGGAGCCUUCUGAAAAUAUCGUGUGGUGAAAAGACCACAGACGUCUAGUGGGAAGCUAAGACCUUAUGGAACUUUACUGCAACUUGUUGUUGUAAUUUUAAGAGAAAUGCCUAGCAUAGGUAGGAGCGUCGAGAUCAGGAUUUCGGUCCUGAUGGAGCAAAAUUGUAAUACUACCCAUUUUCCUUAAGAUUGCUUACUCUUUUAGAGGACAGCAGCUGGCGGGCAGUUUGACUGGGGCGGUGCCCUGUCGAAAAGAUAUCGAUAGGACUCAAAGAUAAGCUCAUCCAGCUUGGAAAUCUGGAGUUGAGUGCGAGGGCAAAAGCUUAUCUAACUGUAUUCUCAACAGUAAGGAAUGCAGAGAGGAAACUCGGACCUAGUGAACCCACAUGCUCUUUUAAUAGGAGCUGUGUCUGAUAGAAAAGUUACCCUAAGGAUAAUAAGCUGGUCGCCCCCAAUAGUCCAUAUUGACGGGGCGGUUUGGUGUUUCGCUGUCGGCUCUCCCUAUCCUGCGCGUGCAGAAGCGUGCAAGGGUGUCGGAGUUCACGCAUUAAAAGGGAUCGUUAGCUGGGUUAAGAACGUCGUGAGACAGUUUGUAUGAUAUCUACUAGAUGUGUUAUUGUCUGAGUGGAACAAGUAUCUAGUACGAGAGGAACGGUACUUGGAUGCCUCUGGUGAGCAGUUGUCAAUGGCAGGCUGCAUAGCUACGCAUUGAAUGGAUAAGAGCUGAAAGCAUCUAAGCUCGAAGCCAUCCGCAAAACGAGACAAUUAAAGCCGUCGUAGAAGACGACGUUGAUAGAGUUCUUGUGUAAGAU
rnacentral:rRNA from 1 species